UACGUAGGGAGCAAGCGUUGUCCGGAAUCAUUGGGCGUAAAGCGCGCGUAGGCGGCCCGAUAAGUCCGCUGUAAAAGUCAACGGCUCAACUGUUGAAAGCCGGUGGAUACUGUCGGGCUAGAGUGCGUUCGGGGCAGAGGGAAUUCCUGGUGUAGCGGUGAAAUGCGUAGAGAUCAGGAAGAACACCGGUGGCGAAAGCGCUCUGCUGGACCUUAACUGACACUGAGGGACGAAAGCUAGGGGAGCGAAUGGG
rnacentral:rRNA from 1 species